UGCCGACACCCCAAGUCGAGGGUAAGC
rnacentral:piRNA from 1 species